GGAUUCCCCUAGUAACGGCGAGUGAAGCGGGAAGAGCUCAAGCUUAAAAUCUCCGUGCAAGUUUUGCGCGGCGAAUUGUAGUCUAUAGAGGCGUGGUCAGCGUGGGCGCUUGGGGCAAGUUCCUUGGAAGAGGACAGCAUGGAGGGUGAUACUCCCGUUCAUCCCUGAGUGGCUCGUGCGUACGACCCGUGUUCUUUGAGUCGCGUUGUUUGGGAAUGCAGCGCAAAGUAGGUGGUAAAUUCCAUCUAAAGCUAAAUAUUGGUGCGAGACCGAUAGCGAACAAGUACCGUGAGGGAAAGAUGAAAAGAACUUUGAAAAGAGAGUUAAAGAGUACCUGAAACUGCUGAAAGGGAACCGAAUCGUUUCCAGUGUCUAUAAUCCGUGGCAUAUUUCAUUGGCGAGUGUGUGCGCGCGUGCGCUGUGGCAGCGGCUUUUUUGGCUGCGCUCGGUGCGUGUGUUGUGYGUGCUUGCUGGUGCCCUGUGCUGCGGUGGGACGUCAAGGUCAGUUCGUAUGCUGCGGGAAAUGGCUGCCGAGGAGGUAGGGCUUACGCUCUGCGUUUGUCUAUUAUAUCUUGGUGGACGAGUCGUCGCGGUUGGGACUGAGGUGCCUACAACGUGCUUUUGAGUGGGUGUGUGUCUCCGUGUGCGCCGUGUGCGGAUAGCUUGCUAUGCGUGUGUGGUUGUGUGUGGAUUGAUGCGUGCCUUAACUUGUCGCCGUUCGGGACGUUGACGAAAUGGAGCGAUCCGACCCGUCUUGAAACACGGACCAAGGAGUCUAACAUGUGUGCAAGUGUUAGGGUGUGGAAACCCCAGCGCGAAAUGAAAGUGAAGGGCAGCGCAAGUUGUCUGAGGUAGGAAACGUUGCGGGCUUCGGUCUGCGGCGUGGCACUAUCGACCGAUCAUGAACCUUCGUGGUGAAAGAUUUGAGUUUGAGCACAUAUGUUGGUACCCGAAAGAUGGUGAACUAUGCCUGAGUAGGGUGAAGCCAGGGGAAACUCUGGUGGAAGCUCGUAGCGAUUCUGACGUGCAAAUCGAUCGUCAAACUU
rnacentral:rRNA from 1 species